AAGGAUAUAUUCGGAACAUCUUCUUCAGAAGAUGCGGAAUAAYGUGACAUAUUGUAUUCAGUUUUGAAUGUUUAUUUAACAUUCAAAUAUUUUUUGGUUAAAGUGAUAUUGCUUAUGCGAGCGCUUGACUAAAAAGAAAUUGUACAUUGAAAACUAGAUAAGUAAGUAAAAUAUAGAUUUUACCAAGCAAAACCGAGUGAAUAAAGAGUUUUAAAUAAGCUUGAAUUCAUAAGAAAUAAUCGCUAGUGUUCGAAAGAACACUCACAAGAUUAAUAACGCGUUUAAAUCUUUUUAUAAAAGAAAACGUUUAGCAGACAAUGAGUUAAAUUAUUUUAAAGCAGAGUUUACUUAUGUAAAUGAGCAUUUAAAAUAAUGAAAAYGAAGCCGUAUGUGAGCGUUUGACUUAUAAAAAUGGUGGAAACAUA
rnacentral:misc_RNA from 1 species